rnacentral:lncRNA from 1 species
GUUCCGCUGAGCUGAGCUCUCCCUCACUAGUGAUGACAUCUGUAUUAUUUAUGUCUGAGAAGGUUGUGAACUCCUGAAGCUUCAUCUGAGUUCCAGUCCCUGGGGAUUUGGGGGAAUUUAACUCCAUUGAGGAUUAGAAGGUCAUUGCUUCUCUAUGAUUUUGGCUAUGCCCUUGAUGUCUCUAAGAUGAAGAAGCAACAACAAUGACAAUCACAGGAACAAUAAAAAUCAAUACUGGCUGCUAAA